AUUGAACGCUGGCGGCAGGCCUAACACAUGCAAGUCGAACGAGUGGCGGACGGGUGAGUAAUGUCUGGGAAACUGCCUGAUGGAGGGGGAUAACUACUGGAAACGGUAGCUAAUACCGCAUACCAUCAGAUGUGCCCAGAUGGGAUUAGCUAGGUGGUGGGGUCAAGGCUCACCAAGGCGACGAUCCCUAGCUGGGCUGAGAGGAUGACCAGCCACACGGGAACUGAGGAAAGGUCCAGAACCCUACGGGAGGAAGCAGUGGGGAAUAUUGCACAAUGGGCGCAAGCCUGAUGCAGCCAUGCCGCGUGUAGGAAGAAGGCCUUCGGGUUGUAAAGUACUUUUAGCGGGGAGGCGUUACCCGCAGAAGAAGCACCGGCUAACUCCGUGCCAGCAGCCGCGGUAAUUC
rnacentral:rRNA from 1 species